rnacentral:rRNA from 1 species
UCAUGGCUCAGAUUGAACGCUGGCGGCAGGCCUAACACAUGCAAGUCGAACGGUAACAUUUCUAGCUUGCUAGAAGAUGACGAGUGGCGGACGGGUGAGUAAUGCUUGGGAACUUGCCUUUGCGAGGGGGAUAACAGUUGGAAACGACUGCUAAUACCGCAUAAUGUCUUCGGACCAAACGGGGCUUUUAGCUCCGGCGCAAAGAGAGGCCCAAGUGAGAUUAGCUAGUUGGUAAGGUAACGGCUUACCAAGGCGACGAUCUCUAGCUGUUCUGAGAGGAAGAUCAGCCACACUGGGACUGAGACACGGCCCAGACUCCUACGGGAGGCAGCAGUGGGGAAUAUUGCACAAUGGGGGAAACCCUGAUGCAGCCAUGCCGCGUGUGUGAAGAAGGCCUUCGGGUUGUAAAGCACUUUCAGUUGUGAGGAAAAGUUAGUAGUUAAUACCUGCUAGCCGUGACGUUAACAACAGAAGAAGCACCGGCUAACUCCGUGCCAGCAGCCGCGGUAAUACGGAGGGUGCGAGCGUUAAUCGGAAUUACUGGGCGUAAAGCGCACGCAGGCGGUUUGUUAAGCUAGAUGUGAAAGCCCCGGGCUCAACCUGGGAUGGUCAUUUAGAACUGGCAGACUAGAGUCUUGGAGAGGGGAGUGGAAUUCCAGGUGUAGCGGUGAAAUGCGUAGAUAUCUGGAGGAACAUCAGUGGCGAA